AAAAGGCGGGCAACUGCCAUCCCCCAGCCACGCAUGCCCAGGAACUCUCAGGCAGGAACUUGGCUGUAUUAUCCUGCCUCAGAGACAAACUCAUCUAUUGUAGGCCUGGCCUGGAUUGCUGCCUCUGAAAACCAGGAAAGGUCGGUAGAAUAUCAACCAAGACAUGGGAUUUCCAGGGAGGUCUCAUUUCAAAAUGUCAUCAACAAGAACCACAUGGACCUCUAUGAGAGGGAUGAUUAAACUGGCCUGAGUUUGAAUGAAAGGAUAAUGUGUGCCCAACCUGUAACUAACACAAAGGAGGUAAAGUGGCAGAGGGUCUUGUAUGAGCAACAGCCAUUUCCUGAUAACUGUGUGGACCGGCGGUUCCUGGAAGAGCAGCUCCUGGAAGAGCUCCGGAAAAACAUCCAUGCUCGGAAAUACCAAUAUUGGGCUGUAGUAUUUGAGUCCAGUGUGUUGAUCCUGCAGCUGUGCAGUAUUUGUGUGUUUCUGGUUAUCUGGUGGCAUAUGGAUGAGGGUCUUCUGGCCCCCCACUGGCUUGUUGGGACUGUCCUGGCUUCUUCACUGAUCGGGUAUACUUUGUUUGAGCUCACUGAUGGAAGUGAAGGGCAGAAGAGUGGGCGGAUCCGGUGGGCUGAACUGAAAAGUGCCCUAGUCUUCAUUACUUUCACUUAUGGCUUUUCACCAGUGCUAAGACCCUGCCAGAGUCUGUCAGCACUGACACCUUCUAGGCCAUGUUGCUCUUCAUGCUGUUAGACCACCUCAUCUCUUUUAACUAUGGUGCCAAUGAUGCCUUUGUAUCCAUUGUAUCCAGUAACUAUCCUUGAACACGGCCGUCUUGGCUUCUGGAGGCUUGGCUUCACGCCUUCCCCAGUCCCUGCAUGUCUCCAUCAUGGUAACACUUGCCAUCCAGAUUUUUGUCCUGUGGCUCAUGUUACAGGAGAAACUAAAGGCAUGGACUCCCAAGGGCUAUGUAGUGGUUACACUGCUUUUUGCCUUUUUGGCCUUGGAAGAGCUGUGGGAGCCAUACUCUUUGCCCUUCUGUUGACUUCUCAUGUCUCAUGUCUCUGUUCAUUUUACCUCAUUCGCCUGCAGCUUUUUAAAGAAAACAUUCACGGGCCUUGGGAUACACCAUCCCCCAGCCACGGGAUGAAGCUGAAAUCAAGGAAGACUUGUCCAGGUUCCUCAGCUAAAUUAGGGACAUUCUGAUAGACUAGCCUCAUAACUAGUAUAAAACUUAAAGACAGGCCAAGUGCAGUGGCUCAUGCCUGUAAUCCCAACACUCUGGGAGGCCCGAGGCGGAUGGAUCACGAGGUCAAGAGUUUGAGACCAGCCUGGCCAACAUGGUGAAACCCCGUCUCUACUAAGAAUCCAAAAAUUAGCCAGGCGUCGUGGUACGUGCCUGUAAUCCCAACUACUUAGGAGUCUGAGGUAGGAGAAUUGCUUUAACCCGGGAGUCGGAGUUUGCAGUAAGCUGAGAUCGCACCACGGCACUCCAG